GGGGUAACAUUGUAGCUUGCUACAGAUGACGACCGGCGCACGGGUGCGUAACGCGUAUAGAACUUACCUUUUACAGAGGGAUAGCCUUUAGAAAUGAAGAUUAAUACCUCAUAGUAUUGAGAACUGGCAUCGGUUUUUAAUUAAAGAUUUAUCGGUAAAAGAUGGCUAUGCGUCCUAUUAGCUAGAUGGUAAGGUAACGGCUUACCAUGGCUACGAUAGGUAGGGGCCCUGAGAGGGGGAUCCCCCACACUGGUACUGAGACACGGACCAGACUCCUACGGGAGGCAGCAGUGAGGAAUAUUGGGCAAUGGAGGAGACUCUGACCCAGCCAUGCCGCGUGCAGGAAGACUGCCCUAUGGGUUGUAAACUGCUUUUAUACAGGAAGAAACACUGCUACGUGUAGCAGCUUGACGGUACUGUAAGAAUAAGGACCGGCUAACUCCGUGCCAGCAGCCGCGGUAAUACGGAGGGUCCGAGCGUUAUCCGGAAUCAUUGGGUUUAAAGGGUCCGCAGGCGGUCGAUUAAGUCAGAGGUGAAAUCCCAUAGCUUAACUAUGGAACUGCCUUUGAUACUGGUUGACUUGAGUCAUAUGGAAGUAGAUAGAAUGUGUAGUGUAGCGGUGAAAUGCAUAGAUAUUACACAGAAUACCGAUUGCGAAGGCAGUCUACUACGUAUGUACUGACGCUCAUGGACGAAAGCGUGGGGAGCGAACAGGAUUAGAUACCCUGGUAGUCCACGCCGUAAACGAUGGACACUAGUUGUUGGGCAUUAGCUCAGUGACUAAGCGAAAGUGAUAAGUGUCCCACCUGGGGAGUACGAUCGCAAGAUUGAAACUCAAAGGAAUUGACGGGGGCCCGCACAAGCGGUGGAGCAUGUGGUUUAAUUCGAUGAUACGCGAGGAACCUUACCAGGGCUUAAAUGUAGUAUGACAGGUUUAGAGAUAGACUUUUCUUCGGACAUAUUACAAGGUGCUGCAUGGUUGUCGUCAGCUCGUGCCGUGAGGUGUCAGGUUAAGUCCUAUAACGAGCGCAACCCUUGUCGUUAGUUGCCAGCAUGUAAAGAUGGGGACUCUAACGAGACUGCCGGUGCAAACCGCGAGGAAGGUGGGGAUGACGUCAAAUCAUCACGGCCCUUACG
rnacentral:rRNA from 1 species